rnacentral:rRNA from 1 species
GACGUAGGGCGCGAGCGUUGUCCGGAUUUAUUGGGCGUAAAGAGCUCGUAGGCGGCUUGUCGCGUCGACCGUGAAAACUUGGGGCUCAACCCCAAGCCUGCGGUCGAUACGGGCAGGCUAGAGUUCGGUAGGGGAGACUGGAAUUCCUGGUGUAGCGGUGAAAUGCGCAGAUAUCAGGAGGAACACCGGUGGCGAAGGCGGCUCUCUGGAACGGUACUGACGCUGAGACGCGAAAGCGUGGGGAGCGAACAGG